rnacentral:tRNA from 1 species
CGCGGGAUAGAGUAAUUGGUAACUCGUCAGUCUCAUAAUCUGAUUGCUGUGGGUUCGACUACGACUCCCGCCG